rnacentral:rRNA from 1 species
UACGUAGGGUGCGAGCGUUAAUCGGAAUUACUGGGCGUAAAGCGUGCGCAGGCGGUUCGUUAAGUCAGAUGUGAAAGCCCCGGGCUCAACCUGGGAACUGCAUUUGAGACUGUGUAGCUAGGGUGCGGAAGAGGGAAGCGGAAUUUCCGGUGUAGCGGUGAAAUGCGUAGAUAUCGGAAGGAACACCAGUGGCGAAAGCGGCUUCCUGGUCCAGCACCGACGUUCAGGCACGAAAGCGUGGGGAGCAAACAGG